UGGCUCCAAAAAUUUUGAUACAGUCUGUGCUCACGACCCACUAUGUGUUUUGCGACCCUUCAGGGGGCCCUGACCCACACUUUGGGAACCCCUGCUCUAGGCAAAUGUAUCCUUUGUGCACUCCCUCUAUUUUCUCUGAGAAAGCCUCAAGUGAUCAUUGGAGGGACUGCAGUUUUUGCUACUUUUCAGGCGCAAAAGUUUGGUUUCAGACCUCUGUCAGCUGCCGCUUGUUACCUGCUCUUCAGACAUUCGGCACACCUGUUUGCUGGUUCAGCUAACAAUCCGCUGCGUGACGUCGUCUCUCAACUCAGUGUAUGGUACCAGCCUCUUCAGCAGCUGUGCGCAAUGAACUCCUAAUCAAGAACCGCGCACUAACCCGAAAGCUCGUAAGUCAGCGUCAGGACCUCAGUACAAAGCACACACACACCUUUCAAGUUCUGGGUGUAUUUCUCUCACCUCCUGGGAGUGUGCAGGGCGAUGGAGUGAAAUAAAAGUAAGAAGAAGAAACGGAGAGUUAAAGGGAAAGUGAGAAAGACUCGAAGGUGUCCUGAGAGCGCUUUCGCUUUAUGGAAAAUGCUGCGGCUAAUCCUCCGAGUGUCACUUCACUCUCCGCAUCCUAAAUAAGAACCUGUUUUGUGCGGUAAGUACAGACACUUCCCAAGAUGUGACUAUCUCUCCCUGUCCCUCCCUGCUGUCUUUCUGAUGCUCCUACAGCCUUGAGAAAAACAAUAAAACACACUAACAAUCAA